AUCCCUAUGGCGCAGUGGUAGCGCGCCGUUCUUAUAUGGGAAGCUUGUUUGGAAACGUUUGUUUUCAGGCAAUCCUAUAUGAUCUAGCUAUGCGGAUGUCCUGGGUUCGACCCCCAGUAGGGAUA